rnacentral:hammerhead_ribozyme from 1 species
AUCGAGCUGACGAGUUCGAAAUAGGACGAAACACGUGUCCUGGAU